CCAUAUCAAUAAGCGGAGGAAAAGAAACCAACAGGGAUUACCUCAGUAACGGCGAGUGAAGCGGUAACAGCUCAAAUUUGAAAUCUGGGUCUUUUAGGCUCCGAGUUGUAAUUUGUAGAAGAUGCUUCGGGUGUGGCCCCGGUCUAAGUUCCUUGGAACAGGACGUCAUAGAGGGUGAGAAUCCCGUAUGUGACUGGGUGCCUUCGCUCAUGUGAAGCUCUUUCGACGAGUCGAGUUGUUUGGGAAUGCAGCUCAAAAUGGGUGGUAUAUUUCAUCUAAAGCUAAAUAUUGGCCAGAGACCGAUAGCGCACAAGUAGAGUGAUCGAAAGAUGAAAAGCACUUUGGAAAGAGAGUUAAACAGUACGUGAAAUUGUUGAAAGGGAAGCGCUUGCAAUCAGACUUGCACGCCGUCGAUCAUCCAGGGUUCUCUCUGGUGCACUCGGCGGCGUUCAGGCCAGCAUCGGUUUUGGGGGUGGGAUAAAGGCCUUGGGAAUGUAGCUCCUUUCGGGGAGUGUUAUAGCCCUCGGUGCAAUGCCGCCUCCCGGGACCGAGGACCGCGCUUCGGCUAGGAUGCUGGCGUAAUGGUUGUAAGCGACCCGUCUUGAAACACGGACCAAGGAGUCUAACAUUUAUGCGAGUAUUUGGGUGUUAAACCCAUAUGCGGAAUGAAAGUGAACGGAGGUAGGAACCCUUAAGGGUGCACUAUCGACCGAUCCUGAUGUCUUCGGAUGGAUUUGAGUAAGAGCAUAACUGUUGGGACCCGAAAGAUGGUGAACUAUGCGUGAAUAGGGUGAAGCCAGAGGAAACUCUGGUGGAGGCUCGCAGCGGUUCUGACGUGCAAAUCGAUCGUCAAAUUUGCGUAUAGGGGCGAAAGACUAAUCGAACCAUCUAGUAGCUGGUUCUGCCGAAG
rnacentral:rRNA from 1 species